rnacentral:rRNA from 1 species
UAUCAAAUAAGCGGAGGAAAAGAAACUAACAAGGAUUCCCCUAGUAACGGCGAGUGAAGCGGGAAGAGCUCAAAUUUGAAAUCUGGCAGUCUUCGAUUGUCCGAGUUGUAAUCUAUAGAGGCGUUUUCCGUGCCGGACCGUGUCCAAGUCUCCUGGAAAGGAGUAUCAAAGAGGGUGAUAAUCCCGUACUUAACACGACCACCGGUGCUCUGUGAUACGUCUUCUACGAGUCGAGUUGUUUGGGAAUGCAGCUCAAAAUGGGUGGUGAAUUCCAUCUAAAGCUAAAUAUUGGCGAGAGACCGAUAGCGAACAAGUACCGUGAGGGAAAGAUGAAAAGCACUUUGGAAAGAGAGUUAAACAGUACGUGAAAUUGUUGAAAGGGAAACGAUUGAAGUCAGUCGUGUUCUUUGGAUUCAGCCAGUUCUGCUGGUCUACUUCCUUGGAACGGGUCAACAUCAGUUUUGUCCGGUGGAUAAAGGUAGUAGGAAUGUGACUUCUCCGGAAGUGUUAUAGCCUAUUAUCACAUACACUGGGUGAGACUGAGGACUGCAGCUCGCCUUUAUGGCCGGCCUUCGGGCACGUUCGAGCUUAGGAUGUUGACAUAAUGGCUUUAAACGACCCGUCUUGAA